rnacentral:rRNA from 1 species
UUGAAGUGGGGACGCCAGUUCUCAUGGAGCCAUCCUUGAAAUACCACCCUGGUUCAUUUGAGGUUCUAACCUUGGUCCGUUAUCCGGAUCGGGGACAGUGCAUGGUAGGCAGUUUGACUGGGGCGGUCUCCUCCUAAAGUGUAACGGAGGAGUUCGAAGGUACGCUAGGUACGGUCGGACAUCGUGCUAAUAGUGCAAUGGCAUAAGCGUGCUUAACUGCGAGACUGACAAGUCGAGCAGAGACGAAAGUCGGUCAUAGUGAUCCGGUGGUCCCUCGUGGAAGGGCCAUCGCUCAACGGAUAAAAGGUACUCCGGGGAUAACAGGCUGAUACUGCCCAAGAGUCCAUAUCGACGGCAGUGUUUGGCACCUCGAUGUCGGCUC